rnacentral:rRNA from 1 species
GACAGAGGGUGCAACCGUUGUUCGGAAUUACUGGGCGUAAAGCGCGUGUAGGCUGCUCAGCAAGUCGGAUGUGAAAGCCCUGGGCUUAACCUAGGAAGUGCAUUCGAAACUUCUGAGCUAGAGUUCUGGAGAGGAAGGCGGAAUUCUCGGUGUAGAGGUGAAAUUCGUAGAUAUCGAGAGGAACACCGGUGGCGAAGGCGGCCUUCUGGACAGUGACUGACGCUGAGACGCGAAAGCGUGGGGAGCAAACAGG